rnacentral:tRNA from 1 species
ACCUGGCUGGCUCAAUCAGUAGAGCAGGCAACUCUUGAUUUCAUGGUCAUGAGUUCAAGCCCCGUGCUGGGCA